AGUGAACGCUGGCGGUAGGCCUAACACAUGCAAGUCGAACGGCAGCACAGGAGAGCUUGCUCUCUGGGUGGCGAGUGGCGGACGGGUGAGGAAUACAUCGGAAUCUACUUUUUCGUGGGGGAUAACGUAGGGAAACUUACGCUAAUACCGCAUACGACCUACGGGUGAAAGCAGGGGACCUUCGGGCCUUGCGCGAUUGAAUGAGCCGAUGUCGGAUUAGCUAGUUGGCGGGGUAAAGGCCCGCCAAGGCGACGAUCCGUAGCUGGUCUGAGAGGAUGAUCAGCCACACUGGAACUGAGACACGGUCCAGACUCCUACGGGAGGCAGCAGUGGGGAAUAUUGGACAAUGGGCGCAAGCCUGAUCCAGCCAUACCGCGUGGGUGAAGAAGGCCUUCGGGUUGUAAAGCCCUUUUGUUGGGAAAGAAAUCCAGCUGGCUAAUACCGGGUUGGGAUGACGGUACCCAAAGAAUAAGCACCGGCUAACUUCGUGCCAGCCGCCGCCGUAG
rnacentral:rRNA from 1 species